UCUGGACCUCUGAAAUAGAGAACACGUAAAGCAGACCGCUAAAGUAUUUUAGGCGUUUAGCAUGUCCAUUUAUGUAUGUUUACUGGAAUCAUAUGAUUUGAUUAUUAAAAUAUAUAGUGUGAAAUAGAUAUAUAAAACAUAUUCACUAAUGUUAGAACUAUUUCUGUAGAUAUUGGAGAUUGAUGGGUACAUUUCCUGGUACUGUCCUCUGUAAUUUACCAAAUUUAAAUGGUAUCCACAUGUUCCAU